rnacentral:rRNA from 1 species
UACGUAGGGUGCAAGCGUUAUUCGGAAUUACUGGGCGUAAAGCGUGCGCAGGCGGUUUUGUAAGUCUGUCGUGAAAUCCCCGGGCUUAACCUGGGAAUGGCGAUGGAGACUGCAAGGCUAGAGUUUGGCAGAGGGGGGUAGAAUUCCACGUGUAGCAGUGAAAUGCGUAGAGAUGUGGAGGAACACCGAUGGCGAAGGCAGCCCCCUGGGUCAAAACUGACGCUCAUGCACGAAAGCGUGGGGAGCAAACAGG